GACGAACGCUGGCGGCGUGCUUAACACAUGCAAGUCGAACGGAAAGGCCCUGCUUUUGUGGGGUGCUCGAGUGGCGAACGGGUGAGUAACACGUGAGUAACCUGCCCUUGACUUUGGGAUAACUUCAUGAAACUGGGGCUAAUACCGGAUAGGAGCUCCUGCUGCAUGGUGGGGGUUGGAAGGUUUCGGCGGUUGGGGAUGGACUCGCGGCGUAUCAGCUUGUUGGUGGGGUAGUGGCUUACCAAGGCUUUGAGGGGUAGCCGGCCUGAGAGGGUGACCGGCCACAUUGGGACUGAGAUACGGCCCAGCCUCCUACGGGAGGCAGGAGUGGGGAAUAGUGCACAAUGGGCGGAAGGCUGAUGCAGUCACGCCGCGUGCGGGAUGACGGCCAUCGGGUUGUGAACCGAUUUCGCCUGUGACGAAGCGUGAGUGACGGUAAUGGGUAAAGAAGCUCCGGCUAACUACGUG
rnacentral:rRNA from 1 species